AUUAUACUCCCUCCGUCCGAAAAUACUUGUCAUCAAAAUGGACAAAAAGGGAUGUAUCUAAAACUAAAAUACAUCUAGAUACAUCCCUUUUAUCCAUUUUGAUGGCAAGUAUUUCCGGACGGAGGGAGUAUAUA
rnacentral:pre_miRNA from 1 species